rnacentral:rRNA from 1 species
UAGGGAAUCUUCCACAAUGGGCGCAAGCCUGAUGGAGCAACGCCGCGUGAGUGAAGAAGGUCUUCGGAUCGUAAAACUCUGUUGUUAGAGAAGAACACGAGUGAGAGUAACUGUUCAUUCGAUGACGGUAUCUAACCAGCAAGUCACGGCUAACUACGUACCAG